rnacentral:lncRNA from 1 species
AAAUAGUUAAAAAAUGCAAACAGCUAAAACUUUUUAACUCAAGUAAAACUUAAAUGGAUCUAUUGAUUGGAGACUAAAUUAAUGUAAAAAAUUCCAUUUCUUUUCUACCUCCCCAAAAUACAUAUCAUCAUAUAGUUUUCCAGAUGUGUUUUAAUAAAUAUUGAGGAACAAGGUCAUCUCUAUUUCAUAACACUAAUGUAAGGAAGAGGAGUAAAAUCGCCUAUUUUAUUGUAUAUGGUUACUAUAACCUUGUUUCUAAAACCAAAUAAAGAAAGUGUAAGAAUUAAAGCUAUAAACCAGUUUCACUUAUGAACAGUAGAUGCAGAAAUAUUAGUAAAUCAAAGAAAGAAAAAUCACACAUUCUGAUGUUGCCAUCACAAUGACUGAUUCUACUCUCUUGAAUACUUGUCAGGUUUCCUGACAUACCUGAGCAUUGGGUCUGACUUUGGUAUCCAUAUUUUUUAAAGGGAUACAGAAAAGUAUGGAUAAUUUAGAAAUUAUUGUACAGUGAUUAAGAGAAAAGAAAAAAAUGUAUAUUCUGAUUGAUUAAAAAAAAAAAGAAGUUCCAAAUGAUUGGUUCAGAAAGUCAAAACACUAGAAAACAUACUUGGGUUUUGAAGAAAAAAAGAGUAUAGACUUAUCAUUGCAAAAAGCAUGAUUUUGAAAUUUUCGAUGUUGUCAUCAGUAACAUCUUUAAUAAGUCCCUGCUAUGGUCUGACUGAAUGUUUGUGUUCCUUCAAAAUUCAUAUGUUGAAAUCUUAUCCCUAAUGUGGCUUCAGAGGUCUGACCUUCGAAGACAUAUUGAAGACAUAUGUAUGCGGAGUAAGGUCCUCACCAGAUACGAAAUCUAUUGGUGCCUUGAUUUUGGACUUCCUGGCCUCUAGAACUAUAACAAAUAAAUUUUUGUUGUUUA